UGUUUGUUGUCAGAAAGAAAAACAAUUGUCUUUACGAUGACAACUUUUGAACAACUUUGCACGUUGUGAUAUUAAUAAUAGCUUAAUAUUUUGUAUCGAUUAAACGCAGUCGUUACGACCUUUUCUUCAUAUACAGUUUUUGUGAUUGUUUUAUCCGGAGCAUUAUAGUUGUUUGCAUUCUUCGCAUCUUUACGGUUCAAUGGCGAAACCAAAAUAGAAUAAGAAGUUUUCUGUUUAUCGAACAACUUGUCCAACGGGAAGUGCUCCCGAAAAUAUAGAGUGAAGCUAACAUGCAGCGGAGAGCAUUACUGUAAAAGUUUUGUGUAACAAUGUGUAAUGUUGCCAUUUCUAUGCGCAAAAUACGCCCGCCCGGAAACGGUGGAACUCACGUCGCUGUCGAGGGAAUUGCGCAACUUUUCCAUUGUGGCGCCAUCUACAGAUGUCCGAUACACUGACACGUUUCCUGUUUCUCUUCAAAACAUCUCAAGCUGUCAACUCAUGAGCGGAUGUCUUGGAGUUUCCUUGAGGGGUUUUUUAUUCAUUCAAUUCUUGAAGAGAUUUAUUUGUUUUUCAAAUGUAGUACAAAUCAAUAAAUGUUAUAGAUAAACAAA